CUCUGUCUCUCUCCAGGCUCCUUCUAGACCAGCAUUUUGCAAUGGACAGAGUGGCAUGGAUUCAGGUGAUUAUUCAAAUGAACCUGAUUUAUCUGGAGGUACGCAUGACCAAUCUUCAAGCAAGUCAAUGCCAGUGUCAGCAAAUGAGGUGUCGAUUACAGAACUUGAACCUAGAUAGAAGUAUGAAGGUUUGAUAAAUUCAUCAAGUGAAGUUUAAAAAGCUAAGACGGAAAAGAUGAAUAAGAUUAGGAACGAAAGAUAAUCCAAGCUUGAGGAUCUAUACUAGCGAGCUUGGAGAUUUUGUAGCCAAAUCGUAAUUUAUAGGAUGAUUAUGGACAUGUAAUGAACGAUUGAUGAAUUUUGAAAUAUGAAUUUGGUACUUAAUUUUAGAUUUAGAUGCU